rnacentral:rRNA from 1 species
AACGAACGCUGGCGGCAGGCCUAACACAUGCAAGUCGAACGGACCCUUCGGGGUUAGUGGCGCACGGGUGCGGAACACGUGGGAAUAUGCCCUUGGGUAAGGAAUAAUAUCUGGAAACGGAUACUAAUACCUUAUAAUGACUUCGGUCCAAAGAUUUAUCGCCCAAGGAUUAGCCCGCGUCUGAUUAGAUAGUUGGUGAGGUAAUGGCUCACCAAGUCUACGAUCAGUAGGGGGUCUGAGAGGAUGAUCCCCCACACUGGGACUGAGACACGGCCCAGACUCCUACGGGAGGCAGCAGUGAGGAAUAUUGCACAAUGGAGGAAACUCUGAUGCAGCCAUGCCGCGUGAGUGAAGAAGGCCUUAGGGUUGUAAAGCUCUUUCAAUAGUGAAGAUAAUGACGGUAGCUAUAGAAGAAGCCCCGGCUAAAUUCG